GGUUAAGCGACUAAGCGUACACGGUGGAUGCCCUGGCAGUCAGAGGCGAUGAAGGACGUGCUAAUCUGCGAAAAGCGUCGGUAAGGUGAUAUGAACCGUUAUAACCGGCGAUGUCCGAAUGGGGAAACCCAGUGUGAUUCGUCACACUAUCGUUAACUGAAUACAUAGGUUAACGAGGCGAACCGGGGGAACUGAAACAUCUAAGUACCCCGAGGAAAAGAAAUCAACCGAGAUUCCCCCAGUAGCGGCGAGCGAACGGGGAGCAGCCCAGAGUCUGAAUCAGCUUGUGUGUUAGUGGAACGGUCUGGAAAGUCCGACGGUACAGGGUGAUAGUCCCGUACACCAAAAUGCACAGGUUGUGAACUCGAAGAGUAGGGCGGGACACGUGGUAUCCUGUCUGAAUAUGGGGGGACCAUCCUCCAAGGCUAAAUACUCCUGACUGACCGAUAGUGAACCAGUACCGUGAGGGAAAGGCGAAAAGAACCCCGGCGAGGGGAGUGAAAAAGAACCUGAAACCGUGUACGUACAAGCAGUGGGAGCACCUUCGGGUGUGACUGCGUACCUUUUGUAUAAUGGGUCAGCGACUUAUAUUCUGUAGCAAGGUUAACCGUAUAGGGGAGCCGCAGGGAAACCGAGUCUUAACUGGGCGUUAAGUUGCAGGGUAUAGACCCGAAACCCGGUGAUCUAGCCAUGGGCAGGUUGAAGGUUGGGUAACACUAACUGGAGGACCGAACCGACUAAUGUUGAAAAAUUAGCGGAUGACUUGUGGCUGGGGGUGAAAGGCCAAUCAAACCGGGAGAUAGCUGGUUCUCCCCGAAAGCUAUUUAGGUAGCGCCUCGUGAACUCAUCUUCGGGGGUAGAGCACUGUUUCGGCUAGGGGGUCAUCCCGACUUACCAACCCGAUGCAAACUACGAAUACCGAAGAAUGUUAUCACGGGAGACACACGGCGGGUGCUAACGUCCGUCGUGAAGAGGGAAACAACCCAGACCGCCAGCUAAGGUCCCAAAGUCAUGGUUAAGUGGGAAACGAUGUGGGAAGGCACAGACAGCCAGGAUGUUGGCUUAGAAGCAGCCAUCAUUUAAAGAAAGCGUAAUAGCUCACUGGUCGAGUCGGCCUGCGCGGAAGAUGUAACGGGGCUAAACCAUGCACCGAAGCUGCGGCAGCGACACUAUGUGUUGUUGGGUAGGGGAGCGUUCUGUAAGCCUGCGAAGGUGACCUGUGAGGGUUGCUGGAGGUAUCAGAAGUGCGAAUGCUGACAUAAGUAACGAUAAAGCGGGUGAAAAGCCCGCUCGCCGGAAGACCAAGGGUUCCUGUCCAACGUUAAUCGGGGCAGGGUGAGUCGACCCCUAAGGCGAGGCCGAAAGGCGUAGUCGAUGGGAAACAGGUUAAUAUUCCUGUACUUGGUGUUACUGCGAAGGGGGGACGGAGAAGGCUAUGUUAGCCGGGCGACGGUUGUCCCGGUUUAAGCAUGUAGGCUGGUUAUCCAGGCAAAUCCGGAUAAUCAAGGCUGAGGUGUGAUGACGAGGCACUACGGUGCUGAAGUAACAAAUGCCCUGCUUCCAGGAAAAGCCUCUAAGCAUCAGGUAACAUCAAAUCGUACCCCAAACCGACACAGGUGGUCAGGUAGAGAAUACCAAGGCGCUUGAGAGAACUCGGGUGAAGGAACUAGGCAAAAUGGUGCCGUAACUUCGGGAGAAGGCACGCUGGUGUGUAGGUGAAGCCCCUGCGGGUGGAGCUGAGACCAGUCGAAGAUACCAGCUGGCUGCAACUGUUUAUUAAAAACACAGCACUGUGCAAACACGAAAGUGGACGUAUACGGUGUGACGCCUGCCCGGUGCCGGAAGGUUAAUUGAUGGGGUUAUCCGUAAGGAGAAGCUCUUGAUCGAAGCCCCGGUAAACGGCGGCCGUAACUAUAACGGUCCUAAGGUAGCGAAAUUCCUUGUCGGGUAAGUUCCGACCUGCACGAAUGGCGUAAUGAUGGCCAGGCUGUCUCCACCCGAGACUCAGUGAAAUUGAACUCGCUGUGAAGAUGCAGUGUACCCGCGGCAAGACGGAAAGACCCCGUGAACCUUUACUAUAGCUUGACACUGAACAUUGAGCCUUGAUGUGUAGGAUAGGUGGGAGGCUUUGAAGCGUGGACGCCAGUCUGCGUGGAGCCAACCUUGAAAUACCACCCUUUAAUGUUUGAUGUUCUAACGUUGGCCCCUUACCGGGGUUGCGGACAGUGUCUGGUGGGUAGUUUGACUGGGGCGGUCUCCUCCCAAAGCGUAACGGAGGAGCACGAAGGUUAGCUAAUCCUGGUCGGACAUCAGGAGGUUAGUGCAAUGGCAUAAGCUAGCUUGACUGCGAGCGUGACGGCGCGAGCAGGUGCGAAAGCAGGUCAUAGUGAUCCGGUGGUUCUGAAUGGAAGGGCCAUCGCUCAACGGAUAAAAGGUACUCCGGGGAUAACAGGCUGAUACCGCCCAAGAGUUCAUAUCGACGGCGGUGUUUGGCACCUCGAUGUCGGCUCAUCACAUCCUGGGGCUGAAGUAGGUCCCAAGGGUAUGGCUGUUCGCCAUUUAAAGUGGUACGCGAGCUGGGUUUAGAACGUCGUGAGACAGUUCGGUCCCUAUCUGCCGUGGGCGCUGGAGAAUUGAGGGGGGCUGCUCCUAGUACGAGAGGACCGGAGUGGACGCAUCACUGGUGUUCGGGUUGUCAUGCCAAUGGCACUGCCCGGUAGCUAAAUGCGGAAGAGAUAAGUGCUGAAAGCAUCUAAGCACGAAACUUGCCCCGAGAUGAGUUCUCCCUGAGACUUUAAGUCUCCUGAAGGAACGUUGAAGACGACGACGUUGAUAGGCCGGGUGUGUAAGCGCAGCGAUGCGUUGAGCUAACCGGUACUAAUGAACCGUGAGGCUUAACCUU
rnacentral:rRNA from 1 species